UCUCAAGAAACUGAAAACUGUGUCU
rnacentral:piRNA from 1 species